UACGAAGGGGACUAGCGUUGUUCGGAAUCACUGGGCGUAAAGCGCACGUAGGCGGAUGUGUCAGUCAGGGGUGAAAUCCCGGGGCUCAACCUCGGAACUGCCUUUGAUGCAGCACGUCUCGAGUCCGGAAGAGGUGGGUGGAAUUCCUAGUGUAGAGGUGAAAUUCGUAGAUAUUAGGAAGAACACCGGUGGCGAAGGCGGCCCACUGGUCCGGUACUGACGCUGAGGUGCGAAAGCGUGGGGAGCAAACAGG
rnacentral:rRNA from 1 species